rnacentral:lncRNA from 1 species
AUGUCAACAUCAUUUUUGCAGUACAGCGAGGCCUCCUUUUUGAAGUCAAAGGUACCGCGGCUGGCCUCGCUGUACUGCAAAAAUGAUGUUGACAUUCUCACCCAGGGCAGUCUUAAAUUUAGAGAUCAGUUCCUAGGUGAGACGGGGGUAGACCCUUUUGGUUCUAUCGCCAUAGCCGGAGCCUGUAUGAAGGUGUUUCGCACCAAUUAUCUGACUCCUAACACUCUGGCUAUCCCCUGCCCGCACAACUAUUUGAAUCAGAGCAAAAGAUUCUCUAGCGCAUCGGUUCAAUGGUUAGAAUGGUUGAUGCACAAAGAAAAAAUCUUUAUACAGCAUGCUCUAAACAUGGGUGAAAAACAGAUUGGUGCAUUUUUCGUAGACGGAUAUGCUGAGAUUGACGGUGUAAAACAUGUCUGGGAAUUUCAUGGAUGUUUUUACCACGGCUGUCCCAGUUGCUUUGAUCCCACAGUACAGUGCGAUAUGAGAGGCGUCACCUUUGGUGAACUGCACUACAAAAGUGAGAAGAGGGUGAGUGAGCUACAGACCACACAUGGGGUUCGUGUUGUAGUCAUGAGAGAACACACGUGGAACCAGAUGAAAACAACAUGCACGGAGGUUAAAGAAUUUCUCCGUUGCUUUAACGCUCCUGAGCCUCUCAACCCCCGAAAAGCACUUUUCGGAGGUAGAACGAGCGCUUUAAAACUGCGACACACGGCAGCGCCCGAUGAAACCAUCCACUAUGUUGAUGUCACCUCACUGUACCCGUUUGUCAACAGUACUUGCUCUUACCCCUUUGGUCACCCCGUGAUCAUCUACAAAGAUUUCGAGGACCCACGCAGCUACUACGGCUUCAUCAGAGCCACUGUGUAUCCUCCUCGAGGUCUUUUAUUCCCCGUGUUACCGCACAAAAGUGAGGGAGGUAAAUUACUCUUUACACUGUGUCGCACCUGUGCCGAAACUAACAAUGAGGGUGGCCCCUGCGAACACGACGAUGAGGGCAGAGCUCUGACGGGGGUCUGGGUCACCGUUGAAUUCAUCAAAGCUCUGGAUGUGGGGUACAGGGUGGGUAAAAUUACAGAAGUCUGGCACUUUGACAAGAGCAGCGACACUGUGUUUACCGACUACAUACACACCUUUUUGAAAGGAAAGCAGGAAGCCUCGGGUUACCCCGCUGAGGCGACGGACCGAGAGAGCAGGGAAAAAUACAUCAGGGACUAUCAGGAGCAUCAGGGCAUUCUUUUAGAUGCUGGCAAAAUCGAGACCAAUCCUGUGAAAAGACAGGUUGCUAAAUUGUGUCUCAACAGUUUGUGGGGAAAGUUUGCACAGAGAGAUAAUUUGUUUAAAACCACCAUUGUCUCAGAUCCUAAAGAAUUCUUUAGUUACAUGUUUUCAGGUAAAUACAAAGUCGAAUACUUUUCCGUUCUCCACAGCAACAGAGCUCUCAUCAGGUGGAAAUACACCGACAGGUACGUUCAACCCCCAGGUAAACAGAGUAAUGUUUUUAUUGCAGCAUUCACCACAGCACACGCACGACUGAAGCUGUACAGUUAUCUGGAAAAACUACAAGACAGAGUGUUUUACAUCGACACAGAUAGUUUAAUCUAUCUGGUCAAAGAGGGUGAGAAACCUCUAGAGCUGGGUAACUAUUUAGGUGACCUGACGGAUGAACUGGAUGGUGACAGCAUUCAAGAGUUUGCAGCGGCGGGUCCCAAGAGUUACGCGUACCAAACACGAAAUAAAAAGAAAGUCGUCAUGCGUGUGAAAGGUAUCACUCAGACCCGGGAAUUUUGUGAGCGUGUGAGCUUUGACAGUGUCAGAGAGCUGGUGGAGGGUUACCUGAGUAAUAAACAAGAGGGAAACACGAUCGAGAUCCGUCAACACAGCAUCAGACGUGAUAAAAAGGGUUUCGCAUUGAGAAAUGUGUCAUUUGAUAAAAAAUUUAGGGUGGUGUAUGACAAAAGACGACUCUUUGCUGACGGAACAACUCUGCCUUUCGGGUAUUAGAAAUGCAGGAAAUUGAAUUUGAUCCUAGGUUUAUCUUUCCUUUUUCUUGUUUAAUCGCGGGUCCGAGCGGGUGUGGAAAGACCUAUUUUGUAAAAAAUGUAUUGGAAAACUGUGACCGUGUAAUAAAUGUUGUACCUGACAAUAUCGUGUGGAUUUAUACCUCUUUUCAACCUAUGUACGCUGAACUGCAAAAGAUGAUUAAAAACAUUAAAUUUGUCAAAGGUCUGCCUGAUUCUUUUGAAGAUGAAACACUGUUUCCUCCUGAUCAAAAGCAUUUGAUUAUUUUGGACGAUGUUAUUUUUCAAGCCUCUGACCAUCCUGAAGUGGUAAAGAUUUUUACACAGUAUCGCCACCACAGAAACAUGAGUGUUAUGAUGUUGACUCAAAACGUGUUUCACCAGGGUAAACACAGUCGCACCAUCAGUUUGAACAGCAAUUAUUUGGUCAUGUUUAAAAACCCACGGGAUAAACUACAAAUGAAUAUAUUGGCUCAUCAGAUUUUUCCAUCACAAAAGACAUUUUUCUUGGAGAGUUUUGAAGACGCCACAAAAGACCCUCACGGGUAUUUAAUAGUGGAUCUCACCCCCGUCUGCCCAGAUCCGUACAGACUGAGAACGGGUGUACUUCCUCACCAGCAAGCGGCCGUUUACAUCCCCAGAGCGUCGACGUAGAUCAUCAUGUCAGCGCGUAUAAAAAGAAACGCACCCCUGCUGAAGGCCCUGUACCGUGCCACACCCAAGAAACGUAGAGACAUUCUUAUUCACAGCUCCCCGGAUUUUAUCCAGACACUGUGUGAGAUUUCUUUAAAUCUUCUAAAAGGAAACGUCCCCCUGACUCCUUCUCAAUUUAAAAAACUGAAGAGACAGAAAAAAAUUAUCAAACUGUUGGCUGAUAAAAGAACCAGUUUAAAGAGGAAGCAACAGGUUCUAAAGAAGCAGACGGGCGGAUUUCUUUUACCUCUCCUCUCAGCGGUGGUACCUUUGAUCGGGAACCUCGUCGGAGGAUUGAUACGAAAAUGACUUUGAAAAAGGCCCAAAAAAUGUUUCUCGUCACCCCUCAUCAACUCAACCGCCUGACGCGGCCCUCCCAGUCCAUCAGAGAUGUCGCGGAGGACGAUUUGGAUGCUAGGAUGAGAGCCAUCUUAAACGAGCAGGGGCUGAGCUCUCAUGAAAAAAUUAAAAAAUAUAACGCGUUACUGCAAAGAUAUCUGACCUUUGUGAAGCAGGAUCAGACAGAGAAUCUGACAGAGAAUCUGACAAAGACGGAGGCAGAGGCAGAUUCUGGGACGGACGUACGGACGUCCGAUAGCAUCAUCGACGACGUGUUGCAGAGCCUCCCACCGCGAGAU